CAAAAUUUUAAUAUUUAUUAUAAAGUUAGAAUGAGUAUAUCCUUUAAGUGACUGUUAGGUUAUGUCUUUUUGGUACAUUUUCAGGUUUUCCAAUGUUUGCAAAAAAAAUAUAAAAAGCUUUGUACAUGUAAAACUAACCAAACACUAUGGGGAUAUUCAUGUUCAAGAGACUAUCAAACAAAAACUAGCUGGUCAAUUAAGAUAAACCAUGUUUUAUUGCCAGCUACAUAUAAAACUUUUAAUUAAUGUUCCAUAAAAAUAGUAUGUAAAUUGUAUAAUUUUUGAUAAAUUUCGAAAAUUAUGAAAUAUCGUGAAUUUUUUGGUAUACUAGUAUUUUAUGUAGAAUAUCAAUGAGGCUCUUUUAUUUAACGACAUUCAUAAGAUUUUCUUAAACUAUAACCUUAUAUAAUGUAUUUUUGUGCAUAGUUUAAUUAAUUAUGAGAUUCUGCUUUAUGGUGUUGUAAUUUGGCUGUUGAAUUGAUGGACCUAGUGAGCUGACCUUACUGUAGGAAAACAUACAUGUAAAGGUAUAAAUAUUUUGGCCUCUGUAGUAAGACUAUAAGUUGUAUGCUUUCUGUUAACAGUUCAAUUUAAAAAAAAACCGAUUUGUUUGACACAAAAUUGUGCAAUAUGAUUUAUUUUGUUAUUUUUUAGAUAAAUCUAACUAUUUUAAAGCAAUGUUUCACUGAAAUAAACCUUGAAAUAAU
rnacentral:sRNA from 1 species